rnacentral:rRNA from 1 species
CUACGGGGGGCAGCAGUGAGGAAUCUUCCGCAAUGGGCGAAAGCCUGACGGAGCGACACAGUGUGCAGGAUGACACCUUUAGGGGCGUAAACUGCUUUUAUGAGUGAUGAAAUUUUGACAUUAACUCAUGAAUAAGCACCGGCUAAUUACGUGCCAGCAGCCGCGGUAAUACGUAAGGUGCAAGUGUUAUUCGGAAUUAUUGGGCGUAAAGCGUCCGCAGCCGGAUUUAUAAGUCUGAUGUUAAAUCCCGGAGCUCAACUCCGGAAUCGUAUUGGAAACUGUAAAUCUAGAGUUAUACAGAGGUAAGUGGAAUUUGUAGUGUAGGGGUAAAAUCCGUUGAUACUACAAGGAACACCAAAAGCGAAGGCAGCUUACUGGGUAUAUACUGACGGUCAGGGACGAAAGCGUGGGGAGCAAAGAGGAUUAGAUACCCCAGUAGUC